GAGCGAAACCGCUUCCGGCCCUGCCGGAGGUGAUCUGCCCAGCGUGGUGGCUGGGUACUGAUGAGCAGCCGAGU
rnacentral:hammerhead_ribozyme from 1 species